AGCGGCUUGGCGGAGCUGGAGCCCUCCCUGGCAGUGCGUCGGCGCUGGGCUAUGGCCCCCUCCUCUCCGGGGGAUCGUCGCCUUGGUCCCCCGACCCUAGGAGUCGGGCAGGGCAGAACCAGGCUAAAGAAACGUCCAGCGUAGCUUCAAGGAUGCACCGCGUGAUCCCUAUCGGAUCUCCCCGACGCGUCAGGCCUGCCUAGACGGUGCUGGGAGCGCGUCUCCUUGAACGUUGUCCCGCCUGGGAUUGCGAGGAAUUAUCCGAUGAAAAGUAGAAGAGGUUGAAUGACUUUCAGUGGCCUUUUCUUCACAGGCACAAGGAGAGAAUAAAGAAAAAGGAGAGCUUAUAGGAAAGAAGGGCUCACCUGAAACUUCAUGUACCAUUGCACUUCCUGAGAAGCUGUCCCCAAUCCCAGGCUCCUAGCAAUGCUGUUCCAGUAAUCUCUCUUCUGUAAGACAGCCACUCCACCCACUGCAGUCUACAAGGAAAGCCUCCAUAGCUGUGGCUAUAGCAAGGUACUGGAUGCCAGUCCAGGCACACAGAGACAUCACUCUGAACUGGUACAUUCCGGGAAAUCCCAAGAUUAUUCAGUAAGAACAGUCUCAGGAAAACAGGACCUUCAACAGAGAUAAGAGAAUUAAAAUAUGCAGACUAACAACUCUGGGAAUGGGCUGACCAGCCUGAUAAGAAUAGGCUGAUGGCACCUACAGAAGGCCACAAAACACUGACCAAGAAAGCAAUGACCAACAAAGCAAUGACCUGAGACUGCACAUUUCACAAGAAUGUUUUGAUCAUCAUUUUUUCUAAUUUCCCUUAAAAAC
rnacentral:lncRNA from 10 species